UACGUAGGGUGCAAGCGUUGUUCGGAAUCAUUGGGCGUAAAGCGCGUGUAGGUGGUUAGAUAAGUCGAUUGUGAAAUCCCUGGGCUCAACCGAGGAAGUGCAGUCGAAACUAUCUAGCUAGAGGACGGCAGAGGAAGGUGGAAUUCCAAGUGUAGAGGUGAAAUUCGUAGAUAUUUGGAGGAAUACCUGUGGCGAAGGCGGCCUUCUGGACCGGUACUGACACUGAGACGCGAAAGCGUGGGGAGCAAACAGG
rnacentral:rRNA from 1 species